CCUACGGGAGGCAGCAGUGGGGAAUCUUGCGCAAUGGGCGAAAGCCUGACGCAGCGACGCCGCGUGAGGGAUGAAGGUCUUCGGAUCGUAAACCUCUGUCAGCAGGGAAGAACGGUCACUGUGCUAAUCAGCAGUGAAUUGACGGUACCUGCAAAGGAAGCACCGGCUAACUCCGUGCCAGCAGCCGCGGUAAUACAGAGGGUGCGAGCGUUAAUCGGAUUUACUGGGCGUAAAGCGCUCGUAGGCGGUAUGUCAAGUCAAGGGUGAAAUCCCCGCGCUCAACGUUGGAAGUGCCUUUGAAACUGGCAAACUGGAGUGUGUGAGAGGAAAGUGGAAUUCCAGGUGUAGGGGUGAAAUGCGUAGAGAUCUGGAGGAACAUCAGUGGCGAAGGCGACUAUCUGGCACAUAACUGACGCUGAGGAGCGAAAGCGUGGGUAGCAAACAGGAUUAGAUACCCGAGUAGUC
rnacentral:rRNA from 1 species